rnacentral:rRNA from 1 species
UACGUAGGGGGCAAGCGUUGUCCAGAAUCAUUGGGCGUAAAGCGCGUGUAGGCGGCCCGAUAAGUCCGCCGUGAAAGCCCAGGGCUCAACCCUGGGAUGCCGGUGGAAACUGUCGGGCUAGAGUCCGGAAGAGGCGAGUGGAAUUCCUGGUGUAGCGGUGAAAUGCGCAGAUAUCAGGAGGAACACCAAUGGCGAAGGCAGCUCGCUGGGACGGUUACUGACGCUGAGACGCGAAAGCGUGGGGAGCAAACAGG